rnacentral:rRNA from 1 species
UGAGCAAUCUGCCCUUCACAUCGGAAUAACCAUUGGAAACGAUGGCUAAUACCGAAUAUGACUUCGGAUCGCAUGAUCUGAAGUGGAAAGCUCCGGCGGUGAAGGAUGAGCUCGCGGCCUAUCAGCUAGUUGGUGAGGUAAUAGCUCACCAAGGCAACGGACGGGUAGCCGGCCUGAGGAGGGUCGACCGGCCACACGUGGGACUGAGACACGGCCCAGACCUCCG